rnacentral:lncRNA from 1 species
GUACACAUAUGGUGGGGGAGGUGGCGACUUGUAGAUAUAUGGAGGAGGUGGUGAUGGUGGAGGAGGAGAUGGGUAAACAUAAGGUGGAGGAGGUGGUGACUUAUACACAUAUGGAGGAGGUGGGGGUGAUUUGUAGAUAUAUGGAGGAGGAGGCGAUGGUGGAGGAGGAGAUGGGUAAACAUAAGGUGGAGGAGGUGGUGAUUUGUAUACGUAUGGAGGAGGUGGUGAUGGUGGAGGAGGAGACGGGUAAACGUAAGGUGGAGGAGGUGGUGACUUGUACACAUAUGGAGGAGGUGGGGGUGACUUGUACACAUAUGGAGGAGGUGGUGAUGGUGGAGGAGGAGACGGGUAAACAUAAGGUGGAGGAGGUGGUGACUUGUACACGUAUGGAGGAGGUGGGGGUGACUUGUACACAUAUGGAGGAGGUGGCGGUGACUUGUAUACAUACGGAGGAGGUGGUGAUGGUGGAGGAGGAGACGGGUAAACGUAAGGUGGAGGAGGUGGUGACUUGUACACGUAUGGAGGAGGUGGGGGUGACUUGUAUACAUAUGGAGGUGGCGGUGAUGGUGGAGGAGGAGACGGGUAAACAUAAGGUGGAGGAGGUGGUGACUUGUACACAUAUGGAGGAGGUGGUGGUGAUUUAUAGACAUAAGGAGGUGGUGGUGAUGGAGAUGGUG